rnacentral:lncRNA from 1 species
UGGUGAUGCCUAUUUGCAGAAUAAUGAACGGAGUUGCCUCAGUUCUGAAGCCUUAUUCCUUACCUGAGGGAGGGGACAAGGCCAUCUCGUAGGACCCUGUGACUGAAUGAGACAUAUGCCAGCCCAGUCUUCCCUUUGUUCCUCGGCUGAGCAUGGCUGCGACCUUUCUUUUCCAGUGGGCUUCCUCGGUGCUCUCAUCAUCAAACACAUUUGUUUUGUUUUCUUGCCGGCGAGAGAGACAAAGUAGAGUAUAAGUGAGAGCUUUCCAUCCGAAGUCUGAAGAUCUGAGUUCCAGUCUUUGCCAUUUAGAAACUGUCUGACCCUAAGUGAGCCAUACAGGUGUCCCCAAACCUCUGUUUUUCAUUUGGAACAUGAAGGAUCAACCCCAUCGUGGGACUAUUGUAAAUGAAAUCAAAAUGCAUUCUGUCAAAUGUUAAACAAUCAUGCAUACGUUGCCAUGACUUUAGUGCUUUGCUUUAUUUUGUAAUCAAUUAGAUCAUUUUUAUCUUGUUUGUCUUAUCUUUAUUUCAGUAAUCUAGUUUUCUCUCUUGUCUUACCAUGAUUUCAGUAACUAAGUUUUCCUUCCUUAACUAGUGUCACUUCUCAAAGUCGUAGCUGUCUUAACUCAUCAUUUUCACUGAGGUCAGAAUGUUACUUAAUACUCACUGAUAUAACUUCGUUCACACAUGCAAAAAAAUAAACCACAGGUUCUCAAAUAAACAAUCACCCAAAUACAUUCUAUUUGGGCAAGGUAAGCAUAAAAAGAUGAAAAAAAAAAACAAAGGACCCAGGUGUGAUGGCACAUACCUAUAAUCUCAG